rnacentral:lncRNA from 1 species
CGGCUGAUUCUAUGAUUCUAUGAUUCUAUGAUCAUGCUCAGGGAUUUUAGCUGGAGUUGACAAGUCACCUUUUACUGUCUCUAUCUCAUUUCAAGACCUCUCUUGAGGUAGACCAGCUUUGAAGCCUCUUUAUUUCCUCAAGAAUCCUGCAUGUAACUUCCACUGAAGUUCUCAGAAUUUGGCCUUUCAGUCUUCAGAAAAAAUAAAUCAUAGGUAUGUUGCAGAAGUGUAAUCCCACUUGAUAGGUAUGCAAGAUCUAAGCACGGUCCUGAUUUCUCCUGGUAAUAAGAACAGCUUGUUAUAACAACUGUAUAUUCUGAAUUUCACCAAACAAUGUUUUGCUAUUUCU